rnacentral:pre_miRNA from 1 species
UAAAUACUCCCUCCGUCCGAAAAUACUUGUCAUCAAAAUGGAUAAAAAGAGAUGUAUCUAAAACUAAAAUACGUCUAGAUACAUUUCCUUUUAUCCAUUUUGAUGACAAGUAUUUCUGGACGGAGGGAGUAUUUG